rnacentral:rRNA from 1 species
GAUGAACGCUGGCGGCGUGCUUAACACAUGCAAGCCGAACGGUGAAGCAGGAGCUCGCUCCUGUGGAUCAGUGGCGAACGGGUGAGUAACACGUGAGCAAUCUGCCCUGGACUCUGGGAUAAGCGUUGGAAACGACGUCUAAUACCGGAUACGAGGCGUGGGGGCAUCCCCAACGCCUGGAAAGAACUUCGGUCCAGGAUGAGCUCGCGGCCUAUCAGGUAGUUGGUGAGGUAACGGCUCACCAAGCCGACGACGGGUAGCCGGCCUGAGAGGGUGAGCGGCCACACUGGGACUGAGACACGGCCCAGACUCCUACGGGAGGCAGCAGUGGGGAAUAUUGCACAAUGGGCGCAAGCCUGAUGCAGCAACGCCGCGUGAGGGACGACGGCCUUCGGGUUGUAAACCUCUUUUAGCAGGGAAGAAGCGAAAGUGACGGUACCUGCAGAAAAAGCACCGGCUAACUACGUGCCAGCCGCCGCCGUAAGAC